UACAGGGGGGGGCAAGCGUUGUUCGGAAUUACUGGGCGUAAAGGGCCAGUAGGCGGCCAACUAAGUCACACGUGAAAUCCCCCGGGCUUAACCGGGAACCGUGCGUGUGAUACUGGAUGGCUUGAAAUUUCGGGGAGAGGGAUGCAGAAUUCCAGGUGUAGCGGUGAAAGUGCGUAGAUAUCUGGAGGAAUACCGGUGGCGAAGGCGGCAUCCUGGACCGACAUGACGCUGAACGGCGAAAGCUAGGGGAGCAAACGGG
rnacentral:rRNA from 1 species